UACGAAGGGGGCUAGCGUUGCUCGGAAUUACUGGGCGUAAAGGGCGCGUAGGCGGAUAUCUAAGUCGGGGGUGAAAGCCCAGGGCUCAACCCUGGAAUUGCCUUCGAUACUGGAUAUCUUGAGUACGGGAGAGGUGAGUGGAACUCCGAGUGUAGAGGUGAAAUUCGUAGAUAUUCGGAAGAACACCAGUGGCGAAGGCGGCUCACUGGACCGGUAUUGACGCUGAGGUGCGAAAGCGUGGGGAGCAAACAGG
rnacentral:rRNA from 1 species